CGCCCCCGGACGCGCGUCACUUCCAGCAGCGGCCGGCGGGGCGGGCACGUAAAUAAAUAAAUAAAUAAUAAAUAAACGAGCGACUAACGCUGCUGUGGUGAUACCUACCCCCCCCCGGGUAAGGUUAGACGGUGGUUUAACCGCACAGUUGCCAUCUUAAGUGCUGGCAAGUCGCUUACACCGCGGUAGGGCGGCCACCUUGGACGAGGGGUGAGGCGAUGCCGUGGGGGACGCCGCGGCCGCCAUGUUGAGCUUGGGAAGAAGAGGGCAGCGCCGGGUUUGCGGUGUUUUCUGUGCCCUGGCGUAGGCAAUAUGAGGAUAAACAACAGCCCGGUUCAUUGGCACAGGAGUGAAGAACUGCAUGCGGAAAAGGAACGGGGCAGCCUUCCUACCAUAGCUGUGUCCAGAGCCGGCUGUCGCUUCUCCAAACAGACGAUGGCACCUGAGCCGGUUUGGAAUCUGCAGUCCUAACAAGCUCAGCCAAGUUUUGUAAGCUGAAGAUCUCCAUUUAUCUUUAUCGUGUCAAUUGCUGACAGUGUUUCAAUACGGUGGUAAAAAUCAAAGAGCUGAUGUCCAUCCACAAAUAUUCUAAAACGGGGAUGCUCGCAAAGUAUCUCAACCUGUAAAAAAGUAAAAUGAUGAAGCAUGUUGUUCACAGUGUAA